GGUCAAUUUAGAGGAAGUAAAAGUCGUAACAAGGUUUCCGUAGGUGAACCUGCGGAAGGAUCAUUACAGUAAAUUGGGUUGUCGCUCAAAGCAGCACGCCCUCCACAUACACACACCUUGUGCACCUUAUAUCUAUUACAGCCUGUCUCUAAUGCAUGUCUUGAUCAUUCUACGGAAUACAAUACAACUUUCAACAACGGAUCUCUUGGCUUUCGCAUCGAUGAAGGACGCCGCGAAAGUGCGAAACGUAAUGUGAAUUGCAGAAUUCAGUGAAUCAUCGAAUCUUUGAACGCAUCUUGCGCUCCUUGGUAUUCCGAGGAGCAUGCCUGUUUGAGUGUCGUGAACCUAGCUCAAUCCCACUCCCGUGGGCUUGGAUUUGGAUGCUUGCUGUGAGGGGGGCUGACCCUCUUUCGGCUCGUCUUGAAAUGCAUCAGCUGGGUCUGCCGCUGAGUUUGGUGGGUGUGAUAAGAAACACUUUGUAGCGCCAUUUCUAAACUCGGAGGGCUGACUGCUCCCAAUGUCAUGUCAUUUGACCUCAAAUCAGGUAGGACUACCCGCUGAACUUAAGCAUAUCAAUAAGCGGAGGAAAAGAAACUAACAAGGAUUCCCCUAGUAACGGCGAGUGAAGCGGGAAGAGCUCAAAUUUGUAAUCUGGCAGUCCUUUGGCUGUCCGAGUUGUAAUCUGGAGAAGUGUUUUCUGUGCCGGACCGUGUACAAGUCCCUUGGAACAGGGCGUCAUAGAGGGUGAGAAUCCCGUCUUUGACACGGACUCCCGGUGCUUUGUGAUGCGCUCUCGAAGAGUCGAGUUGUUUGGGAAUGCAGCUCAAAAUGGGUGGUAAAUUCCAUCUAAAGCUAAAUAUGGGCGAAAGACCGAUAGCGAACAAG
rnacentral:rRNA from 1 species